GCGCGGGGCGGGGGUUCCCCCCCCCUCGCUGCUGCGCGCACGCACGGUGCCACUUUCCUUAUCUAAUUCUCUUUAUCCAGUUCCUUGAGCUUUGUGAGGGAUAAAAGGUGAUGAACGUAUAGGCCCUAGGGAGGCUGAGGCAGGAGGAUCUGGAUGAGUUCCAGGCCAACCUGAACUACAAACCCCGCAGGUGACGGGACCAGCAAGAUGACAGCCCCUGGAUGUUGGCCAUCUGAUUGCUGACCAUCGUGCCGCUGUCGGGGCCCCACUGAGCUAAAAUGUGAGCUGUUUCUGCCAUGGUGCUGGUGGAUUUACACAGAUCUCUCACCGCUCCUUGCAGGUGGAUUUACACAGAUCUCUCACUGCUCCUUGCAGGAGUCGUCUUCCUGGAUCUCGGCACUGCUCAGGUGGACGCCCUCUCUUGGCCCAGCCACCCCCACCCCAGAAGCCCCUGGCUGGCGGGCCCUGCCCUGUCUCCUGAUUUAAUUCCCAUCCAGACUGCAUGGCGCUGCGGCUGCCCAGCCUCGCCUGAGUUCCUGAUCCACGUGUCCUCUUGCUCACAGCAACUCCCACUGUGCCACCGUGUAGGCUCAGCCUGCUCACCUGGUCCAGGCCUCCCCCAGAGCUGCCUCAGCUCCGGGCUCCCUGCAUCUCUGAUUCCUCCUUUCCCCUUGCAAAAGCCAAAGACUCACUCAGGAGGCGUCCUUGGCUCCCCUCCUCUCACAGCCCUCAUCCAAACCAUCAGCAAAUCCUGCAGGUUCCACAUUCAGAAUAAACCUACUCUCUGA
rnacentral:lncRNA from 1 species